UACGGAGGGUGCAAGCGUUAAUCGGAAUUACUGGGCGUAAAGCGUGCGCAGGCGGUUUGUUAAGUCCGCUGUGAAAUCCCCGAGCUCAACUUGGGAAUUGCAAUGGAUACUGGCAGGCUGGAGUAUGGUAGAGGAAGGUGGAAUUCCCGGUGUAGCAGUGAAAUGCGUAGAGAUCGGGAGGAACACCAGUGGCGAAGGCGGCCUUCUGGACCAAUACUGACGCUCAUGCACGAAAGCGUGGGGAGCAAACAGG
rnacentral:rRNA from 1 species